UACGGGGGGGGCAGGCGUUGUUCGGAAUUACUGGGCGUAAAGGGUUCGUAGGUGGCCUACUAAGUCAGACGUGAAAUCCCUCAGCUUAACUGGGGAACUGCGUCUGAUACUGGGGGGCUUGAAUCCGGGAGAGGGAUGUGGAAUUCCAGGUGUAGCGGUGAAAUGCGUAGAUAUCUGGAGGAACACCGGUGGCGAAGGCGGCAUCCUGGACCGGUAUUGACGCUGAGGCGCGAAAGCUAGGGGAGCAAACGGG
rnacentral:rRNA from 1 species